GAAUUUUCCGCAAUGGGCGAAAGCCUGACGGAGCAAGACCGCGUGGGGGAAGAAGGCUCUUGGGUUGUAAACUCCUUUUCUCUGGGAAGAACAAAAUGACGGUACCAGAGGAAUCAGCAUCGGCUAACUCCGUGCCAGCAGCCGCGGUAAGACGGAGGAUGCAAGCGUUAUCCGGAAUGAUUGGGCGUAAAGCGUCCGCAGGUGGCAGUUCAAGUCUGCUGUCAAAGACCGGGGCUCAACCUCGGAAAGGCAGUGGAAACUGAACAGCUAGAGUAUGGUAGGGGCAAAGGGAAUUCCUGGUGUAGCGGUGAAAUGCGUAGAGAUCAGGAAGAACAUCGGUGGCGAAGGCGCUUUGCUGGACCAUAACUGACACUCAGGGACGAAAGCUAGGGGAGCGAAUGGGAUUAGAUACCCCAGUAGUC
rnacentral:rRNA from 1 species